rnacentral:tRNA from 1 species
AAUGAAGUGGCCGAUAAAGGUGAUAAACUGUAGAUUUAUUCAUGAAAAUAACUCUCCUUCAUUA